UACGAAGGGAGCUAGCGUUGUUCGGAAUCACUGGGCGUAAAGCGCACGUAGGCGGAUGUGUCAGUCAGGGGUGAAAUCCCGGAGCUCAACUUCGGAACUGCCUUUGAUACAGCACGUCUUGAGUCCGGAAGAGGUGGGUGGAAUUCCUGGUGUAGCGGUGAAAUGCGCAGAUAUCAGGAAGAACACCUAUGGCGAAGGCAGCUCUCUGGGACGGUACUGACGCUGAGACGCGAAAGCGUGGGGAGCAAACAGG
rnacentral:rRNA from 1 species